UCCCCGGGCUCANCCUGGGAACUGCGUUCUGAACUGGGUGACUAGAGUGUGUCAGAGGGAGGUAGAAUUCCACGUGUAGCAGUGAAAUGCGUAGAGAUGUGGAGGAAUACCGAUGGCGAAGGCAGCNUCCUGGGAUAACACUGACGUUCAUGCCCGAAAGCGUGGGUAGCAANCAGGAUUAGAUACCCUGGUAGUNCACGCCCUAAACGAUGUCGAUUAGCUGUUGGGCAGCAUGACUGCUUAGUAGCGAAGCUAACGCGUGAAAUCGACCGCCUGGGGAGUACGGUCGCAAGAUUAAAACUCAAAGGAAUUGACGGGGACCCGCACAAGCGGUGGAUGAUGUGGAUUAAUUCGAUGCAACGCGAAGAACCUUACCUGGUCUUGACAUGUGCGGAACCCUCCAGAGACGGAGGGGUGCCUUCGGGAGCCGUAACACAGGUGCUGCAUGGCUGUCGUCAGCUCGUGUCGUGAGAUGUUGGGUUAAGUCCCGCAACGAGCGCAACCCUUGUCAUUAGUUGCCAUCAUUAAGUUGGGCACUCUAAUGAGACUGCCGGUGACAAGCCGGAGGAAGGUGGGGAUGACGUCAAGUCCUCAUGGCCCUUAUGACCAGGGCUUCACACGUCAUACAAUGGUCGGUACAGAGGGUAGCCAAGCCGCGAGGUGGAGCCAAUCUCACAAAACCGAUCGUAGUCCGGAUUGCACUCUGCAACUCGAGUGCAUGAAGUCGGAAUCGCUAGUAAUCGCAGGUCAGCAUACUGCGGUGAAUACGUUCCCGGGUCUUGUACACACCGCCCGUC
rnacentral:rRNA from 1 species